rnacentral:rRNA from 1 species
CAUUGUUGGAGAGUUUGAUCCUGGCUCAGGACGAACGCUGGCGGCGUGCUUAACACAUGCAAGUCGGACGCUGAAGCAUCUUCGGGUGUGGAU